CCCUCUAGAGGAGCCUGUUCUGUAAUCGAUAAACCCCGAUAAACCUCACCAACCCUUGCUAAUACAGCCUAUAUACCGCCAUCUUCAGCAAACCCUAAAAAGGAAGCAUAGUAAGCAAAACCAUUAAACAUAAAAACGUUAGGUCAAGGUGUAGCCUAUGGGUUGGAAAGAAAUGGGCUACAUUUUCUAAAAUAGAACACACACGGAAGCUCUCGUGAAACCGAGAGCAGAAGGAGGAUUUAGUAGUAAAUUAAGAAUAGAGAGCUUAAUUGAAUAAGGCCAUGAAGCAC
rnacentral:rRNA from 1 species